AACGAACGCUGGCGGCAGGCUUAACACAUGCAAGUCGAGCGCCCCGCAAGGGGAGCGGCAGACGGGUGAGUAACGCGUGGGAACGUACCCUUUGCUACGGAAUAGCUCCGGGAAACUGGAAUUAAUACCGUAUGUGCCCUACGGGGGAAGGAUUUAUCGGCAAAGGAUCGGCCCGCGUUGGAUUAGCUAGUUGGUGGGGUAAUGGCCUACCAAGGCGACGAUCCAUAGCUGGUCUGAGAGGAUGAUCAGCCACAUUGGGACUGAGACACAGCCCAAACUCCUACGGGAGGCAGCAGUGGGGAAUAUUGGACAAUGGGCGCAAGCCUGAUCCAGCCAUGCCGCGUGAGUGAUGAAGGCCUUAGGGUUGUAAAGCACUUUCGCCGAUGAAGAUAAUGACGGUAGUCGGAGAAGAAGCCCCGGCUAACUUCGUGCCAGCCGCCGCGGUAAAAC
rnacentral:rRNA from 1 species